ensembl:lncRNA
GGGGGGUAUUUUUCUUCCCACGUUGUCAUAGUCACCUUAUAAGCCGGAGUAAUCAUUUGGUUAGGGCUGCAUCAUCACUUCAUUGAUCAGGAUCACGACAGAGAAAGGGAGGAAAUCAUUCUUGUAUAAUUUGUACAGCUUCGUUAGUGAAUGAAAAUGUAUCACAGUGUACUUCAGUGGAUCUUGCAUUGAUACUGAAGGGAUAGCUGAGAAUAAGCUUGCCUAUUUUAUCCCCUAACCACCGACGGUUUCCUACCAGCAUUUAGCAGACGUAGAACAGUGUAUAUUGUAGUUCAUCAACAGCGUAUAUUGUAGUUCAACUACGGUUUAUUGUAGUUCAACAACAGCGUAUGUUGUAGUUCAACAACAGCGUAUAUUGUAGUUCAACUAUGGUUUAUAUUGUAGUUCAACAACAGCGUAUAUUGUAGUUCAACUAUGGUUUACAUUGUAGUUUAACUACGGCCUAUGUUGUAGUUUAACUACGGUGUAUAUAGUAGUUCAACAACAGCGUAUAUCGUAAUUCAACAACAACGUUUAUUGUAGUUAAACUACAGCGUGUGUUGUAGUUCAACAACAGCGUAUAUUGUAGUUAAACUAUGGUGUAUGUGAUAGUUUUACUCACAUUUGUAUGUUUGUCCUGUCAAAUUCAAUACUCCUUUUUGAUUGCUGUUCUCUUCCUUCCCCGAUGAAAUAUAACAGUAGUUAUUACAAUUUUAAUUGCUGCAUUAUUGCCUUUUACAAUGCUGUGUUUUGGAUGUAAUUAAUAUGUAUUUUUUAUUUAUAUGUAAUAAUAAAUUGGAUCAAGGGUCAAGCAUUUGCAACUGUACUGUAGAAUAUAGAACUGUAUAUUAAAUCAUACAACGUUGACCUUGUGAAACCGAACAGGUCGAGAGCCGCCAUCCAAUUGAAAAGGUAAAAAGCACAACUCCAGAAAUUAAUCUAACAGAACGUGUGUGCAGGCUGCUUACAGGCUGCUCACAGGAAAACCAAACUCUCCGGUGAGGCUGCGUCUCCUCUGUCUGCUUCCUCCAAAUCAUCCAUGGUAUAGAGAUGUCCUUAUGUUGGCUCAUGAAAACCAAAAACAAUCUCUAGAGAUCACUCAUUUGGCAAAAUUAUUCAUGUAAUUGUAAUAGCAACAGAUAUUAAACACUGAAAUGUGAUGAUGCUCUUCAAAAAUGUAAUAAAAUUUACAAAUGGCCCAUGAAACACUUUUUGCC